rnacentral:rRNA from 1 species
UAAGACGAACCGGACAAACGUUAUUCGGAAUUACUGGGCUUAAAGGGUUCGUAGGCGGCCUUGUAAGUGGGGUGUGAAAUCCCUCGGCUCAACCGAGGAACUGCGCUCCAAACUACAAGGCUUGAGGGAGACAGAGGUAAGCGGAACUGAUGGUGGAGCGGUGAAAUGCGUUGAUAUCAUCAGGAACACCGGUGGCGAAAGCGGCUUACUGGGUCUCUUCUGACGCUGAGGAACGAAAGCUAGGGGAGCGAACGGGAUUAGAUACCCCGGUAGUCCUAGCUGUAAACGAUGAGCACUUGGUUGGGGAUCCUCCCAUAGGUUCUCGACCGUAGCGAAAGUGUCAAGUGCUCCGCCUGGGGAGUAUGGUCGCAAGGCUG